rnacentral:rRNA from 1 species
GACAGAGGGUGCAAACGUUGCUCGGAAUCACUGGGCGUAAAGGGCGUGUAGGCGGGCAUGUAAGGCGGGCGUGAAAUCCCUAGGCUCAACCUAGGAACUGCACUCGAAACUGCGUUUCUUGAGUAUCGGAGAGGAAAGCGGAAUACCUGGUGUAGAGGUGAAAUUCGUAGAUAUCAGGUGGAACACCAGUGGCGAAGGCGGCUUUCUGGACGAUAACUGACGCUGAGACGCGAAAGCGUGGGGAGCAAACAGG